UAAAAAAGACUUUUAAGGCACCGGCCAGGCAGGCAGCCAUCCCCCACUUCUUAAUAUCAUACAUCAUUUUCCAUGCCCAAUAUCUCGUCAACCCACUUGCUCUUCAGUCUUUACUCUUUACCAUCCUCAAUCAAGCACAAUGUCCCAACCCUCACAACCCACUUCCUCCGCUAGUUUGAUGGGAAACAUAUUAGGAGUUCAGCUGAAAGGAUUUGUGGAGAAGCUGAAGAAGCAAGUGACGUCUUAUUGGCCGAAUAAAUCUGGAUUCAAGGAUAACAAAGGAGAUGAGUUUCGGAUUAAAUCAAACGAACUCAGAGUAUCUGCUCAUACUUGGAAUGUUGGAGGGGAACUUCCAUCAGAGGAUCUGGAUAUUAGAGACUGGCUGGAUGUUGACUACCCUGCAGAUAUAUAUGUGUUUGGUUUUCAGGAAAUCAUACCUUUAGAAGCUGGCUAUGUUAUUGGUUCUGAAGACACCCGUCCUAUUCCAAUAUGGGAAAACAUCAUUCGCAAAACCCUAAACAAUAUUCAACCUGUAAACACGAUAUUAGAAAGUGAUAGCGACACUGAGGUGGCAUUAUGCACAUCUAAUGAUUCUUCAACAACAGAUUCUAAAGAAAAUGUAGAAGAUUCUUUCACAGAUUCCAAAUCACAAUAUGUCAAAAUAGUAAGCAAGCAAAUGGUUGGUAUUUUUAUCACCAUUUGGGUUCAUAGAAGCUUGAGGAAGCAUAUACAAAAUGUAGAUGUGUCUACCGUUGGUGUUGGUAAAAAGGGCUUCGUAGGUAAUAAGGGGUCUGUCUCAGUGAGUAUGUCCAUAUAUCAGACAAAUUUCUGUUUCUUAUGCACUCAUUUAACAUCUGGUGAGAGGGACAUUGAUAUUGCUAAAAGGAAUGCUGAUGUGCAAGAAAUAUAUAAAAGAACAUGUUUUAAUUCAAUGUCAGAAGAUGCACUUCCAAAGAGCAUUAUGGAUCAGGAGAGGAGCGUUUGAUGGAUGGACGGAAGGCGUUUUAAAUUUUCCACCAACUUACAAAUAUGAGCCAAAUUCAGAUAUAUAUUAUGGCAAGGAUCCUAAGGUUGGUAGGCGUACCCCUGCAUGGUGUGAUCGUAUACUUUCAUAUGGGAAGGGGAUACGACAAAUAAGCUACAAACGAGCUCAGAUUAGAUUCUCUGACCAUAGACCUGUUUCUGCAUCAUAUUUGAUGGAAGUUAAAGCAUUUCCAUUAAGAAAAACUACAGCACGCCCUUACAUUUAGUAAUGCAAAGAUGGAAAACUAUGGAUCAACCCGCGUAAAGUCAAAACAUGUAGCAUCAAAGUGGUAAACUAGCUGCUUCAUUCACAUGUUGAGAUAUGUUAUUGAGUUUGUUGAACAUACAAUUUGAGCUCAAUAUAUUGGACUCAAAACUAUAUGUUAUUUAUUUAUUUAUUGACAAUGUGUUUGCUAAUUGUGGUUAAGGGUUUGUGUUAUGUAAAAAAAUUGUUGCAAUGUAUUAUCAAUAUAUACAAGUGAAUAGUUUUAAUA